rnacentral:misc_RNA from 1 species
GCUCUUCAGAGGGAUAGGCAGAACAUGGGUCGCAGGUACAUUGAGGUCUUCCGUUGCAAGAAGCAAGAUUACUACAAUGCAAUUGCUGCUGAGGUGAAUUAUGGGGGGUCCUUUGACAAUGAAAAGCGCCAGGCUUCCCCGCCUGAACGCCCGAAGAAAGCUUCUGAAAACAAGGAACAUAUGGAGUACACUGAGAUUCUCAAGCUGCGCGGUCUCCCAUACUCAGUAGCGAAGUCUGAAAUUGCUGAGUUCUUUGAGGAGUUUGAGGUUACUGAAGAUAAUGUGCACAUUGCUCUUCGUUCUGAUGGCAAACCCACUGGAGAGGCUUAUGUGGAGUUUUCUUCUGAGGAGGUGGCAAAGAAGGCGAUGUGCAAGGACAAGGAGACGAUCGGGUCAAGGUACGUGGAGCUGUUCCCCUCAACCCCAGAGGAAGCAAGGCGAGCAGAGUCCAGGUUCAGGCAGUGAUUUAAAACGUCUCCAUGCUGUGUUCACUACUUGGUUCCUUUCUCUUCAGUAAGCUGGUUAG